AUUGAACGCUGGCGGCAGGCCUAACACAUGCAAGUCGAACGAGCGGCGGACGGGUGAGUAAUGUCUGGGAAACUGCAUGAUGGAGGGGGCUAAAUACUGGAAACGGUCGCUAAUAACGCAUACCAUCAGAUGUGCCCAGAUGGGAUUAGCUAGUAGGUGGGGUAACGGCUCACCAAGGCGACGAUCCCUAGCUGGUCUGCGAGGGUGACAAGCCCCACUGGAACUGAGAACCGGUCCAGACUCCUGCGGGAGGCAGCAGUGGGGAAUAUUGCACAAUGGGCGCAAUCCUGUUGCAGCCAUGCCGCGUGUGUGAAGAAGGCCUUCGGGUUGUAAAGUACUUUCAGCGAGGAGGCGUUACCCGCAGAAGAAGCACCGGCUAACUCCGUGCCAGCAGCCGCGGUAAUUC
rnacentral:rRNA from 1 species